AAAAAUCGGUCCAUUCCAGGUUAUCGACUGUGUCCAUUCGAAUCUAAAACACAGUCAACAGACUACGCAUGGACUGGGCCAGUGCUCAAAUCAGAUGGCAUCAGCAGCUGCAAACUCAGAUCUAUCCUUGCCCUUCCUGAGGCCUGGCUUUGAUUACUGGGCCCCCCACCACGAGCCAACACAUGGCCAUGAGCACAUACCAACUCAGUGCACAACCUCUGAGCAACCACUUGGAAACAAUCAAGAGAAAACAUAUGACCAUGCAGAGUUUUCCAACAACACUGCAAAAGAUUUGGAAAUGGUCAAAGACACAAGGAUAAGCCAAGUCAAGCCCACGGCGCUCUUCCAUGAACCUAUUGUUUGUGACCGUCCCAUCUGCUCAGAUCCGCCAGUAUCAAGCGCGGGAUCAGAUGUGUGGGCAUCCGUAGGGACCCCCGCUGUAACAUCACAGAAGGAAUGCUUCAUUUGAGGAACUGAAUCAAUACCCGUC
rnacentral:lncRNA from 1 species